GGAUUAGAUACCCUGGUAGUCCACGCCGUAAACGAUGUCUAUUAGCCGUUGGGCCUGUUAUGGGCUUGGUGGCGAAGCUAACGCGAUAAAUAGACCGCCUGGGGAGUACGGCCGCAAGGUUAAAACUCAAAGGAAUUGACGGGGGCACGCACAAGCGGUGGAUUAUGUGGUUUAAUUCGAUGCAACGCGAAGAACCUUACCAGGGCUUGAAGUGCAGUGGACUUUCGGUGAAAGCCGAUUUUCCUUCGGGACUGCUGCAGAGGUGCUGCAUGGCUGUCGUCAGCUCGUGUCG
rnacentral:rRNA from 1 species